GGGGGGUGCAAGCGUUAUUCGGAAUCACUGGGCGUAAGGAGCGCGUAGGCGGUCUCUUAAGUCAGAUGUGAAAGCCCGGGGCUUAACCCCGGAAGUGCAUUUGAAACGGAGGGACUUGAGUAUGGGAGAGGGAAGUGGAAUUCCUGGUGUAGCGGUGAAAUGCGUAGAUAUCAGGAGGAACACCGGUGGCGAUGGCGACUUCCUGGACCAAUACUGACGCUGAGGCGCGAAGGCGUGGGGAGCAAACAGGGAUUAGAUACCCUGGUAGUCCACGCAGUAAACGUUGAACACUAGGUGUAGCGGGUAUUGACCCCCUGCUGUGCCGCAGCUAACGCAUUAAGUGUUCCGCCUGGGAAGUACGGCCGCAAGGCUA
rnacentral:rRNA from 1 species